rnacentral:siRNA from 1 species
CCAAUGUAGAUGGUCUAACAAUA